CUUUGUCCCAGUUUUUUAUUUUGGCCCAGUGGGAAUUUGAGUUCGACACCCCUGGUUAUCUGUUUAUAUGUGAUUGCAGAUCUGAUUGUGUGCACUGAUUUUCAGUUGGGUUCACCUGAAGUCUGCCUGGGCAGUGGAGUCCGCCUGAGCUCAUUACUGAACCGACCAGACGGAGUUUUACAUGAACGGGAGAGAACACGGUUCAGGCUUCACAAUCAGCUCAGCACCUUGGAAAGAAAAUAUGUGGAGUGCACAAGGGAUGACGGAUCACACCUAAAAGGAAAAGAGAAGAAAGUCAUAAAAGUCUCAGAGCUGUGCUGUUGCCUCCAGAGGGAAGAGAGAGGCCACAUAUCGACAGAAACCGCCUUCAUAUCGCUGCCGUGUAGAAGAAUUAUUUAUCUCCUGCUCCGUUCCUGGGAGGAUGCUGUUGACAGCAUCUCAUCUCACUGUCUGAGAACCACUGGCUUCCAUUCGGGCCAGGAACUGCGAUGUGAUGUCUUUGUGAGAGAUUUCAGCACUGUCGCCUCGUUUAAAAGCUCAGAGAGCAGCAAAGUAAAUGCCGAGCCCAAAAGGAAAGGAAACAUUUAUUGUUCAUGAAGGUGGCGCCUCACAGGUCCUGUCAGACAAGAGCAGGGAGGUGAGGUCUUGGUUUGAGGUCUCUUGAAGUGUUCCCACCUCCCUGCAUUCUCCUGCAGGAGCUCUGGAGCUGCCCCCACCCCAUCAGCACAUUCGUGUACAUUGCCAAAUACGAUCUAACAUUCCACAUGACGACUAGGUUUUUACAUUAGUGGUGCCUGCUCCUGUUGUAAAAAUGUACAGAAUUACAUUUUUGUGUCUCAGUGCAAAAGAUUAUCUCAAAAGAGUUUCAGGAAGAGCCGUGCCCUCGGUAAAAGUCCGUCCGUUGAGCAACCGGCCCGCCUACAAGACCCAGAAUAAAUAACCAACAGAAGCAGCUUUACAGUCACCGUCAGAUAGCAGCAGUGUUUCAGCUUGACUUAAAUACAUAUUCACAAACAACACGUGUCAGUAUACACCCACGACUUGUCAGAACUGGAACUAUAGAUAAUAAUUAUACAUACUGAUCAUAAUUACUAUGACCAUUACAGAAAAACUAAUUCUAGAGAGGACUGAAGUAUUUACACAGCUUUCUGUUGUUUCGUGUUGCUCCUUUAAAGUUCUGUGGCUUAAUUUCCCGUGAGUGAACUUCCCAAGUAAAGGAAGGCAAUGGAGUGUCUCUAAAG
rnacentral:lncRNA from 1 species